rnacentral:rRNA from 1 species
GGCCAACCAUGGUGGUAACGGGUGACGGAGAAUUAGGGUUCGAUUCCGGAGAGGGAGCCUGAGAAACGGCUACCACAUCUAAGGAAAGCAGCAGGCGCGUAAAUUACCCAAUCGCGACUCGCGGAGGUAGUGACAAGAAAUAACGGACCGAAGCCUAUGUUUCGGGAUUGCAAUGAGUAGAAUUUAAAUCCCUUAACGAGGAACAAUUGGAGGGCAAGUCUGGUGCCAGCAGCCGCGGUAAUUCCAGCUCCAAUAGCGUAUAUUAAAGUUGUUGCAGUUAAAAAGCUCGUAGUUGAACCUCGGGGUCUACCCAUUGGUCAGGCUUAAUUGUCUGCACUGGUGAGAUGGAUCUCUACCUUCUGAGGAACUUUCAUGCCAUUUAUUUGGUGUGAUGGGAAAUCAGGACUGUUACUUUGAAAAAAUUAGAGUGUUUAAAGCAGACUAUCGUCUGAAUACAUCAGCAUGGAAUAAUGAAAUAGGACGGACUGAUUCUAUUUCGUUGGUUUCUAGGAUCACCGUAAUGAUUAAUAGGGAUAGUUGGGGGCAUUAGUAUUCAGUUGUCAGAGGUGAAAUUCUUGGAUUUAUUGAAGACUAACUACUGCGAAAGCAUUUGCCAAGGAUGUUUUCAUUAAUCAAGAAUGAAAGUUAGGGGAUCGAAGACGAUCAGAUACCGUUGUAGUCUUAACCAUAAACUAUGCCGACUAGGGAUCGGACGAAGUUAAUCUUAUAAUGACGCGUUCGGCACCUUACGGGAAACCAAAGUGUUUGGGUUC